rnacentral:rRNA from 1 species
CCUACGGGAGGCAGCAGUCGAGAAUCAUUCACAAUGGGGGAAACCCUGAUGGUGCGACGCCGCGUGGGGGAAUGAAGGUCUUCGGAUUGUAAACCCCUGUCAUGUGGGAGCAAAUUAAAAAGAUAGUACCACAAGAGGAAGAGACGGCUAACUCUGUGCCAGCAGCCGCGGUAAUACAGAGGUCUCAAGCGUUGUUCGGAAUCACUGGGCGUAAGGCGUGCGUAGGCUGUUUCGUAAGUCGUGUGUGAAAGGCGCGGGCUCAACCCGCGGACGGAACAUGAUACUGCGAGACUAGAGUAAUGGAGGGGGAACCGGAAUUCUCGGUGUAGCAGUGAAAUGCGUAGAUAUCGAGAGGAACACUCGUGGCGAAGGCGGGUUCCUGGACAUUAACUGACGCUGAGGCACGAAGGCCAGGGGAGCGAAAGGGAUUAGAUACCCGGUAGUC